UGUUUGUCUGUGCCUUGGGAUACAAGGUGUUUUUCAACUACUGAUGCUGGCGGAAUCCCUGUGCCAUCUCUCCAGGUACUCUCCAGGCUCCAGUCCUGUUCCUUAACAGUUCAAGAGCUCAGGAAGGGGACGUUGUCCUGGCUCAAUGUGUUCUCCAGAAACAGUUUCCUGCUACCCGAAUUGUCUUCUGCAAGGAUGGGUUGAAGGUGCGCAGCAGGAAAGCCAAACAGAACACGGUCAGCUACUCUGUGCUGCUGAGCAUCACUGAGGGAAGCAGUGGAACAUACAAGUGUUUGUACGAGCAGAGGAACGAGAAAAACUGGCUGAGGAGCUCUGUCCUCAGUGCCCCCCGGGACCUGCAUGUCACAGGUCUUGUGUCUGAUCACACAGCACGAGCUGCACCCCCAGGUGAGGGACUCUCCUUGGCUCCUGCUGAACCUACCCCUGCACCUUUUCCCUAUCCUUCCCCUCUUUUCCCAACCCAUCGUUAUGUCGCUGUUUCACCCCAACUCCUGCAUCACUCCCAUCUGACCCUAUCACCCUCUGUGUCCCCAGACCCCAACUCUCCUCUGAACCCCGUAGUCAUUCAUGUGGUAUUGGUUGCUGUCACCCUCCUCCUGUCUGCAGCCAGCUUCUGGAUCAUUAGGAAAGGUGAGGACUUGAGGGAACUGUGGGGGAUCCAUGAGACUGCCACAGCUUUGAUGUGA
rnacentral:lncRNA from 1 species